UACGGAGGGUGCGAGCGUUGUCCGGAAUCAUUGGGCGUAAAGGGCGCGUAGGUGGCCCGGUCAGUUCGUGGUGAAAGCGCGGGGCUCAACUCCGCGUCGGCCAUGAAUACUGCCGCGGCUGGAGCACUGUAGAGGCAGGCGGAAUUCCGGGUGUAGCGGUGGAAUGCGUAGAGAUCCGGAAGAACACCGGUGGCGAAGGCGGCCUGCUGGGCAGUUGCUGACACUGAGGCGCGACAGCGUGGGGAGCAAACAGG
rnacentral:rRNA from 1 species